ensembl:lncRNA
CCCCUCAUUCUUAACUUUUGUAUCAGAUCUUUUAUUUUACUGUUUUGUUUUUGUUAAAAAUUUUUUAAGAAGGAUAUUGUGAAAAGUUUUAAAUUUGUAAUAAGUCGAGUCUGGCCUGCCCUUAUUUACUGAGUGUGACAAAUUACUGAAAAAUUGCCACAUCGUUCCAUUCUACACCAAAGUGCAAUUUCGGAAGGGAAAGAUUUAAUGUUUUUAGAUUGACGAUACAUAAUCCUUUUUUUUAGCCUGACCAUCUCUCACUUUUUGAAUGUACAUCGAAGCCUUCAGAGCAUCCAUGGUCAUCCUUGCCAAGCUGGGCCUGAUUCUCUGUAUGGAAGACACUGUAAAUAUCUCAUAGGAGAGAUGAUGAGGGGAAACACUAGGGGGAGCAGUGGUCCCAGGAAUAGAUUUGAAGAAAAAUGGUAAAUGUUCUUUUGUUGUCAGUGGUAGGAAGAAAUGUGUUAUGGAGAGUAGGCAAGGAAGAGCUUAUAAGAUGUGUGGCUGGCAGGUUGAGAUCCUGGUGGACUGACCAGUGGACCAGAGCCAUUUCUGAGGUCUGGGGGUGGAUAACAUGCUUUUAUUUACUAUCCGUUUUUAUAGUAAUUUAGAGAGAAAGUAGCUUAAUUGCAUUGUAUUGCAAAGAAGUAUAAUUUGCAUGUUGUUACAAAAUCUCAUAGGAUUUUAGUGAGUCCAGAUGCUAUUACCAGUUUAUUUAUUGUCUCACCAUUAGGGAGUUUUUGUUUUUUUUUACUCUCUAGGCCCGUAUUUGUGUAUAAAAUUAAGAUUACGUUUUUGAGGCAAUUUAAAAACUAUUUUUGUUGUCUCAUGUCACUGACAGAAAUAUCAUUCUUUGAAUGAUGUAAAUAAUAUGUAUAUUUUUCUAUACAAAUGGCUGGAAAAGCACUCAUUGGUGAAUAGCACUUAACAAUGGUAUUUAUAUUUUUAAUAAUACAUUGUAUUUAUUUUAUCAACAUUUUUGUAGGAAAGAAUAGAUAUAGAACACUAAUGCUUUGUCCAGAAAUUUUUAUAGCACUGUCUCGAGAUAUUUUUUUUGUUUGUUUUUGUAGCCCAAAUGUUUCCUUCUGUUCCAAAGAUUGAAGCAGUUACUGUUUCCACAGAGUGCGGUCCACCAGUGGCUCUCAUUGCCAACCCAGGUCAAGCAUGCACAUUUCAAAUAUCAUUUCAAAUAGGUGUGUAAGUUUAGUGAGCCUUUCUAAGUGCAAAUCGAUUUGAUGCGACUCUCCUUUUUUUAGUGCCAGCCUUAAAAUCACAUGCAAGAACAGCCCAUCUUCCCUUAAAAGUCCCUCUUUGCGUUUUCUAAACUUGGAGGAAAGAUGCAUAAAAUCCUUCUCUGGCAUUCUAGCAACUGACAAGUCCCAAAGUUUAUUCCAUAUAUUUUGUUAUAUCAAAAUAUUUUCUUAGAGAUUGGUGUAAUGCAAGGAUUCGCCACUGAGGCUAUCCCGUGUAAAACUACUUGUAAAGCACUAUAUAUAUGGAGGAGGAGAGGGCGGAGGGCUCUUGUUUCCUCACGGUCUUGUGCACUGAAGAUCAGUCUUCUUCCCAGUCUUCUUCAACACAUGUUGCCUUGGCACUGCAUGGACACUCCAGCCAGCCAUUCAGUCAAUGCACAUUAUUUGCUCGUAUCAUCAUUUCGUUUUCUUGUAAAUGUCAACACUCCCCACACCUGUUCCCAUCUCGGCUCUUUUCAGAGCUCGAGUUUGACCCCUAUUUGAAUAAGGCUAAGACAGAUGUGGCUUUAUUAUUUUUGUGGAUGUUCUGUGGAUUGUUCUUCCGUCUUUCAGAUCAGAAGUUUGGUGCCUUCACUGUAAAUUUCUCUGGUUGUUAUUUUCGUUUUUGGAUGUUAGGCGUUAGAACUUGUUUGGACAGUCAGCUGAGAGGCUCCAGACUAUGGAGAAACGUUCAAAGCUGUUUUAACUAGGGCACAAGCAGAUUCCACUUGAAAUUUGACUCUUGUUUUAUUUUUUAUGUAAAGUCACGAUGAUUUUUAAAGGGAUGCUGUAGCACAAGAAUGGCUUGGGAUCUGUACAUACCUCUAGACGAAGCUGCUUUGGGCAACCGUGGCUUCCUUAGUUAGCCACUUUCAAGGCCAGUUCCUCUGUGUCUCUAAAACUCUAAAACAGUUGUGUUUUUUUCCUUGGCCACUGCAGACCCCCUCCAGCCCUCACUGUACCUAGGCUGCAAUAAUUUUGACUUUUUCCAGCAUUUCACUUUUGACUAUGGCACUGAAGAUCAGAGUUCUGUACGUUUCCUCACAUUGAACAUUUGUUGGCUGCUGCCUCAUAUUUGUAUACGUGUUUAUACUGAUCAGAAUUUGCGGUUUAGCCAUCUCUUUCAGGGAUUCUUGGGGGUCUCGCCCAACUUUCCUCUCGCCCUGGCACCCCUGUGGAACAGGACGUGCUGAACUCUGCAGCUAGGCCGUUGUUGAAUGUAUUCUAGAAUUUUGUUUUGUUUUGAUUUUUUUUUUUUUACUUUUUUUUUUUUUUUUCAACAUGAAAGGCUGGGAAGAUACGGGACAGCUUUUUAUUGCAUAAAAUAGGAGGAUUAUACAGCAGGGUUCUACAGAAACUAUUGCUCAGUCUAAUGAAAUAAGAUUUUUAUUUUAUUAAUAUAUUUUUUUUUGUAAUGCAGUUACUAAUCCUAAGGGCUUUGUAAUAGACUCCUGCACAGACAUCAAUACAACGUCAGAUGCUCCAUAAACUGGUAUAACAGCGCUCGGUCAGUGUUUCAGAAGCAGACAUGGUCUGUCGUUUUCCUGGACUUUACUCUUCCACACCACACAAGUGGUACCACACCUUCUCCUGUAAUUAUAAUCAUCAGUAUAUAUGUAUACACAAUAUACAUGGAUAUAUUUAAACUAAACGUGUAUGAAUAGUAACUUGUACUUCAAUAUCUACACAAUAUACGGAAUGGACAGACAAACUUAGUAACAGUAGCAAACAGCAGCUUCAUAAUGGUUAAUUGCAAUGUUCAGUGUAUAAUCUAUAAUGGUUUUGUGUUACAGAUAAACUUUAGAGUAACUAAUGUGCAUCAUUUUAAUAUCAAGAUCAAGUACCAGUUUUCCUGUGCCUGUGUAUGUUCCCUCAAUGGAGCAUUGCAGUUUUUUUUCUUUUUUCUUUUAAUUUGUUCAUUUUUUUUUUACCUUUUUUUUUUUUUUUGGAAAGGAGCGGUAUUUAUAUUAUGAAACGAGUUAAUGUAAAAUGUGGUUGUAAACUUUUUGAGCUUUGAUAAUUUGUUUGCUUUUGAUGGUGUAGUCUGCGUUAUUUUACCCUGUACAUUUUUAACAGUUUGUGGACAUCAGGAAAAAAUGCCCUUGCCUAAACCCAAACAUGUCACCUAUACCUCUCUCUCCUAUUGGAUCUUAAGUUGUACUUUUUUUUAUGUGAUGUUCUGUAAUGAGUAAUGGUAACCAUUCUAUUUAUUUAUUUCUGCAAACAAGAUGUACACUGAGGUAAAUCUCCUUCUGAGAGCAGGUGACUGCGCUCCCUGUUUUUGGAGUUUUAACAUGGUUCACUUUGUACAGAAAUGAGUUGCGGACCAUCGGAGUUACUUUAGGGAGUCAGAGAGGUCUUGAGAGGGAGAGAUUUUAACUUCUUCCUCUUGGAGGACGUAAGUUUUCCUUUGUCUUACCAACACUUCCUUUCCCCUGUAGCUUCGAGAUGUUAAUACUGACAGUUUUAAGGUUUUUAUUUCUUUUCUUUUUUUCUCCAAGUUGCCCCAUCAGUGUUUUACCAUUUUACAGAAAAAUGAAGGAAAAUUUGUUAAUCGAAAAUAUUCAACCACAAACUACUUAAGGAUGAAUGUAUAAUGAGGAAAAAAAAUUGUACAUAACAACUGUAAAAAGGAAAAUUUCUAAUCAUGUUUAUUUUCUAUGCACUUUUUUUAUUUAAGUGAUAGUUUAAAUAAUAAACAUGUCUUGUUUACUCAAACUUGAUAUCUUGUCUUUUUACCUUCCUAGUAUUGUUAAACCAGUAGUUUCCUGGUUCUGGACUUCAAUUGGUGACAUGGUGUAAAAUAAAUAAAUAAA